GGGCCCGCACAAGCAGUGGAGUAUGUGGUUUAAUUCGAAGCAACGCGAAGAACCUUACCAGGUCUUGACAUCCACGUAAUCCCUCAGAGAUGAGGGAGUGCCCUUCGGGGAAAUGUGAGACAGGUGGUGCAUGGUUGUCGUCAGCUCGUGUCGUGAGAUGUUGGGUUAAGUCCCGCAACGAGCGCAACCCUUGUCCUUAGUUGCUACGCAAGAGCACUCUAAAGAGACUGCCGUUGACAAAACGGAGGAAGGUGGGGACGACGUCAAAUCAUCAUGCCCCUUAUGACCUGGGCUACACACGUACUACAAUGGCCGUUAACAGAGGGAAGCAAAGCCGCGAGGCGGAGCAAACCCCUAAAAACGGUCUCAGUUCGGAUCGCAGGCUGCAACCCGCCUGCGUGAAGUCGGAAUUGCUAGUAAUCGCGGAUCAGCAUGCCGCGGUGAAUACGUUCCCGGGCCUU
rnacentral:rRNA from 1 species